UUGUAUUCAUAGUAACAGUAUGCUCUAAAUUUAGGAAAGUAUCAAGAGGACCAAAGUUUAAGACAUGAAAUGUUCAUAAAAAAGAAAAUUUCUCUCUGAAAUCCCAAAGCAUCAUCAUGGCCAUUAGACCCCUAUAUAGAGCGCUAAAAGCGUCGCCCUCUAACCACGCCUCGCGUAAAAAUUCCCAAACCCAAAACCCCCAAAUCUCCAUCAUUUUCAGUCCCCACAUCGGAAAAUUCUACCCCAAAUCUCCACCUACAUCAUCAACACCAUCAUCCAUGUCUCCGUCUUCUCCUUAACCCUCGAUAGCCGGUCGGAUCCAACCAAGAUCAUAAAUCCAGAUGCAAAUCUUUCAUCGACUUCGUGCUCCAUCUCAACGAUUGCCUCAAUGAUCCAGUCGCCAUGCUCACCGCCCUCUCCAGCUCGAACCCAUUAAACCCUAGAGAAUGCGGUAUCUUAAUUUGAAGAAGGGACAUUAAUUCUCUACUUUGAAACAGCUCGCAGAGUUGCAAGUGGAAGAACUAUACAACUGCUGACACUAUUUGACAUUGUUUUUAAUAUGAAAGUAGAAUGUCAUGCUCUUCAUUAGCCUCACCUUACUUGCAUGUGUUGGAAAAAGGGGUGUAGACCCAUACCUUAUCCCCAUCGACGGCGACCUCCGGCGAGGUCAAACAGCGAAGAUAAGCUCAAGCAAGCUUGCAGAGGGCUUCAGGCGAACUCGAAAGACUGCAGGCAAGGUCGAACGUUUGAGGCAUAGGCGAGCUCAAAUCUGAGGUGUAGGCGAGCUCGAUGUUGGGGCUUGCUGCAGGCGAAGAGAGAGGAGUCUUUGACAGGCGAGCUCGAGCGGUCUCUCCGCAGGAGAAGUCGAGACCCUCUGCAGGCGAGGAUGAAGCUACAGGCGGGGUUUGGCGACCUACAGGCGAGCUUAGAGUUGGGGCAAAGGCGAGGUUUGGCUGGCGAAUCACAGGCGAGCAUUGAGCAGGCAAACUCGAGCGUUUUGGGGAUCUCGCCUGCUACGGAGAGAAAGCUCGCAUGCGCGUUGGGUUGGAUCCAGCUGGAUCCCACUCGUUCUUGGCCCUAGGGUUUCCCUAUAAAUAGGGAAACCUAGAUCACGAAAGAAGUGCGCUCUCUCUCUCUCUCUUCUAUUUUUUCUUCUCAGCGACUUCUUGGCGGCGAUUGAGCACAAGAUUUUCAAGUUCAAAAUCUCAGUUAUUGGAGAGGAUUAAUUCCUGUAGCGAUUUUGUGAGAGAGGAGAGAUUUUACUGUUGUAAAAUCUCGCGCCUUUUGUAAGAGCAACAAAUAAUUUUUCUGUUUGCUUC